rnacentral:lncRNA from 1 species
CGGAGGUAGAAUCUAGGAUAGUUUAGGAUGUAGUUCAUCUAAAUGUAACCUGCAAUUGUGUAAGAUCAUACUCUCUUUAUAGUGUUCAUUCAAUUCAAUUCUGUUUCUAAUGCUUUACAAUCCUUCAUUAGUGUUGUAAUGAUUUUGAGUUAAGUCACGUGCGAGAGUAUUGAUUUAAUGUCUGAACUGAAUUGUAUUGAGCACUCGAGUGUCUCCGGUCGAGAGAUU